rnacentral:lncRNA from 1 species
CCAUCCUCAGCAGCAAAAUUAUUAGUACCACUCUCAUUAGUUUCAUCUUCAUUCUAUUCUCUACUUAUGUUACCACUCUCAUAUUCCUCAUACUCACUUCCACAAUUUUCAUCAUGCUUAUUGCCAAGAUGAGCAGGUUCAUUAUUCAAGUAAGAUUCGAUAAAGCGCUUGCGCAAACAAAUACGAAAAAUUAUGAGCAAAAUCUUUAAUCGGAGCUUGAUAUUAGUCAAGAUUAUUUUCAAGAUGAUG